rnacentral:rRNA from 1 species
UAGGGAAUCUUCGGCAAUGGGGGCAACCCUGACCGAGCAACGCCGCGUGAGUGAAGAAGGUUUUCGGAUCGUAAAGCUCUGUUGUAAGAGAAGAACGUGUGUGAGAGUGGAAAGUUCACACAGUGACGGUAACUUACCAGAAAGGGACGGCUAACUACGUGCCAGCAGCCGCGGUAAUACGUAGGUCCCGAGCGUUGUCCGGAUUUAUUGGGCGUAAAGCGAGCGCAGGCGGUUUAAUAAGUCUGAGGUUAAAGGCAGUGGCUUAACCAUUGUUCGCUUUGGAAACUGUUAAACUUGAGUGCAGAAGGGGAGAGUGGAAUUCCAUGUGUAGCGGUGAAAUGCGUAGAAAUAUGGAGGAAAACCGGUGGCGAAAGCGGCUCUCUGGUCUGUAACUGACGCUGAGGCUCGAAAGCGUGGGGAGCAAACAGG